rnacentral:rRNA from 1 species
UACGUAGGGGGCUAGCGUUGUCCGGAAUCAUUGGGCGUAAAGCGCGUGUAGGCGGCCCGGUAAGUCCGCUGUGAAAGUCGGGGGGCUCAACCCUCGAAAGCCGGUGGAUACUGUCGGGCUAGAGUGCGGAAGAGGCGAGUGGAAUUCCUGGUGUAGCGGUGAAAUGCGUAGAGAUCGGAAAGAACACCAACGGCGAAAGCACUCUGCUGGGCCGACACUGACACUGAGAGACGAAAGCUAGGGGAGCGAACGGG